AGUUCAGUGGCAGAGCAUGUGCUUAAUAUGCACGAGGCCCUGGGUUCUAUCCCCAG
rnacentral:tRNA from 1 species